ACAGGGAAGCCUACCUAUAGCCAUCUGAGCUUUCCCCAACACUAGGUAGCUUACAAGUAACAGAAAUUAAUUUCUGCCAGUUCUGAAGCCUAAGUACUCAAGGCACCUGCAGACUUGACCUGAGAUGAGGGCCUACUUCACAUUCCUAGAUGAGGACUUCUCUCUGUGUCCUUACAUGGAAGAAGGGGCCUGGUAGCUCUGAGGGGCCUCUUUCACAAGGUCCCUGCUUCCAUUAGUGAGGCCUCUUACCUCAUGACCUAAUCACUUUCACAAGGCCCACCUCCCACUACGAUCCCUUUGGGGUUUAGAAUUGGAACAAAGAAUGGGCAGCACAAACAUGGAGUCUGUAGCAGGAAAUCUCCUAAAAUGUCAAAUAAUGUACUUAUCUUUCCUAGAAAUUACCCAUCUAGACAUUUUUGUCACAUGCCAUUGUAGUGUGUUAAGUAAGUACUGUCCCUCCAAAUCCACAUCCACUAAGAACCUCCAAAUGUGACCUGAUUGGGAAAUAAGAUUUUUGCUGUUGUAAUUAAGGAUUGAAAUGAGUUAGGGUUGGCCCUGAAUCCAAUGAUAAUGUUCUCACAAGCAUAAGCAGAAAGAUUUGGGGAAGAAGUCCAGGGAAAGACUAAGGCAGAGAUUGGAGUAAUCCAAGAACCACCAGGAAUCUUCAGAAACCAGGGGAGCAAGGCCAGAUUCUCCCCAGAGACUUUGCAGGGAAUGCAGAUAUGCUGGUACUUAAGCUUGGUUCUGCUGGCCUCCAGAAGGUGCACAUUGGGAGAGAAGGUAUGACAUCACCAAAGGCAGCCUCACUCCCAGCCAAGACCAAGGAAAGCAGGGCCAAACCUCCAAAACACAAAGAGCUGUGGGAAUGCCAAGGCCCAGCCAGUAGGGUUCAGCUCCUGUGGAUUCUUGCCUCCUCCCUGCAGGUUCCCCUCCCACUCUGAGGCUCUGGGAAGAUGGUGACUGG